GCCGGCGUGAACCGAAAUGGAUAGGUGGCGGCCUGCAGAGCCGUAUUAUGAGGGUUCGAGUCCCUUCGCCGGCU
rnacentral:tRNA from 1 species